GUGAGGAAUAUUGCGCAAUGGAGGCAACUCUGACGCAGCCAUGCCGCGUGCAGGAAGAAGGCGCUACGCGUUGUAAACUGCUUUUAACCGGGAAGAAACCCCAGGACGUGUCCUGGGUUGACGGUACCGGAGGAAUAAGCACCGGCUAACUUCGUGCCAGCAGCCGCGGUAAUACGAAGGGUGCAAGCGUUAUCCGGAUUCAUUGGGUUUAAAGGGUGCGUAGGCGGAGCGUUAAGUCAGUGGUGAAAUCCUGCAGCUUAACUGUAGACUUGCCAUUGAUACUGGCGCUCUUGAGUGCGCUUGAAGUGGGCGGAAUGUGCCGUGUAGCGGUGAAAUGCUUAGAUAUGGCACAGAACACCAAUUGCGAAGGCAGCUCACUGAGGCGAUACUGACGCUGAGGCACGAAAGCGUGGGGAUCGAACAGGAUUAGAAACCCUGGUAGUCC
rnacentral:rRNA from 1 species